rnacentral:lncRNA from 1 species
GCCGCGUCUCCCGGCGGUGGGAGGGGGCGGCCCCCACUCGGUUCCUGGCCCCUCGCGGCCCCGUCAGCCUCCCGCUCGGGGUGCGCCGCCCUUCGUCUGGGUCUCCGCCCCCAGGACCCGCGGCCGAGAGCUCCGGAGCGCGGCUUCCCCGGCCGGCUGCGCGAUGGGCUGCGGGAACUCCACCGCCACCAGCGCGGGCGCGGGCCAAGAACAGAAGAAUCCAUAACAGAAGAUGACAAGAGGAGAAACUAUGGAGGAGUAUAUGUUGGCCUACCAUCUGAAGCUGUCAAUAUGGUGUCCAGUCAAACAAAGAUGGUUCGGAAAAAUUAGAAGAAAAUAACAUCAUGACUCAAGAAUCAAGAGCUUGCUCAUCAGUUUGGAAGGAAUUUGGCUCCGUGGGACAUUGUAAUGUGCACAGACAUUUCCAAGGAAAUUCUAAACAGUCACCCUUCCCUUUUGCAUUCCCCCAAAUCUUAAGUGUAUACAUAAAACCCUGGGUACAUAUUGUUGUGGUAAUAGAAGGGAAUUGGUUAAACAGUACACUUGUUUAUGGAACUUUCUGUGGCCACCUACGAAAGACAAGUUAACAAACUGUCAUGGAGGCUGUUGUUGCCCAGCCAGGGCCGCUGCAUUUUGACAACAUUUCCACCCUGGCCACUCAGCACAUUUCAUGGAGGUCAUGUCUUUUCACUGAUACUUUUUUGAUAGUUUUUAUAUAACAAAAUCCUUAUUCUAUUUAUAACUUAGGAUGAUAAGGCACUAUAAAU